AAUAAACCAAUUUUUUACUUUUUACCUUCAAUUUUUGACUCUUCAUCUUAUUCAAAUUUUUGUUACGAUUGAUAUUUUUAUUUUUUAUUAGAUGAUAAAUAAUGAAUAACACUUUACACGUGACUACUAUUUUUUAAUUUUCUAAAUUUUUUUCAAAUAAGACGGAUGAUCAAACAUUGAACACGGAAAUAAAAGAAUUCAUUUUUU
rnacentral:pre_miRNA from 1 species